rnacentral:rRNA from 1 species
GGGUCCUGCCUGCCCGGUGACUUAGUUAAACGGCCGCGGUAUCUUGACCGUGCGAAGGUAGCAUAAUCAUUUGCCCUUUGAAUGGGGGCUGGUAUGAAUGGCAAGACGGAGGUCCGACUGUCUCCCUCUCAGAUCUUGAACUUGAUAUCCUCGUGAAGAAGCGGGGGUGUAGUCGUGGGACGAGAAGACCCUAUCGAGCUUUAGUUGGUUGCACAAGUUGGUCUGGCUGCUUAGGGGCUAAUAUCCCUUUUCUGAAGGGGAUGAGUUUACCGCCCAGGUUGUCUGGCUGUGUGCUUGUCGCUUUAGUUGGGGCAACUGCGGAGAAUAGUUAUCCUCCGCUUUACAAGCAUUUGGUGAAGUGUCAGCUUUCAUGCAAGCGUUGUUUUUCGAGGACCCGCCGGUAGAAGGCGAUUGGAGGAACAAGUUACCGUAGGGAUAACAGCGUAAUUUUCUUGGAGAGUUCUUAUUGAUAAGGAAGUUUGCGACCUCGAUGUUGGAUCGGGAUUACCUAGGGGUGCAGCAG